rnacentral:rRNA from 1 species
CCUACGGGAUGCAGCAGUGAGGAAUAUUGGUCAAUGGGCGCAAGCCUGAACCAGCCAAGUCGCGUGAGGGAUGACGGUCCUAUGGAUUUUAAACCUCUUUUGUCGGGGAGCAAGGCCCGCCACGUGUGGCUGGAAGGAGAGUACCCGAAGAAAAAGCAUCGGCUAACUCCGUGCCAGCCGCCGCGGUAAUACGGAGAAUGAGAUCGUUCUCCGGAUUGAUUGGGUUUAAAUGGUGCGUAGGCGGAAGGUUAAGUCAGCGUUCAAAUGGCGGUGCUCAACACCGGCCUGCCGUUGAAACUGGUCUUCUUGAGUGAUCGAGAAGGAUGCGGAAUGCGUGGUGUAGCGGUGAAAGGCAUAGAUAUCACGCAGAACUCCGAUUGCGAAGGCAGCAUACCGGCGCUCAACUGACGCGGAGGCACGAAAGCGUGGGGAUCGAACAGGAUUAGAUACCCCUGUAGUC